AGUGAACGCUGGCGGUAGGCCUAACACAUGCAAGUCGAACGGCAGCACAGUAAGAGCUUGCUCUUACGGGUGGCGAGUGGCGGACGGGUGAGGAAUACAUCGGAAUCUACUUUUUCGUGGGGGAUAACGUAGGGAAACUUACGCUAAUACCGCAUACGACCUACGGGUGAAAGCAGGGGAUCUUCGGACCUUGCGCGAUUGAAUGAGCCGAUGUCGGAUUAGCUAGUUGGCGGGGUAAAGGCCCACCAAGGCGACGAUCCGUAGCUGGUCUGAGAGGAUGAUCAGCCACACUGGAACUGAGACACGGUCCAGACUCCUACGGGAGGCAGCAGUGGGGAAUAUUGGACAAUGGGCGCAAGCCUGAUCCAGCCAUACCGCGUGGGUGAAGAAGGCCUUCGGGUUGUAAAGCCCUUUUGUUGGGAGAGAAAAGCAGCAGGUUAAUACCCCGCUGUUCUGACGGUACCCAAAGAUUAAGCACCGGCUAACUUCGUG
rnacentral:rRNA from 1 species